UAGGUAACCUACCUAUAAGACUGGGAUAACUUCGGGAAACCGGAAGGCUAAUACCGGAUAAUAUUUCGAACCGCAUGGUUCGAUAGUGAAAGAUGGCUUUGCUAUCACUUAUAGAUGGACCUGCGCCGUAUUAGCUAGUUGGUAAGGUAACGGCUUACCAAGGCAACGAUACGUAGCCGACCUGAGAGGGUGAUCGGCCACACUGGAACUGAGACACGGUCCAGACUCCUACGGGAGGCAGCAGAC
rnacentral:rRNA from 1 species